rnacentral:rRNA from 1 species
GACGAACGCUGGCGGCGUGCUUAACACAUGCAAGUCGAACGGAAAGGCCCUGAUUGCAGGGUACUCGAGUGGCGAACGGGUGAGUAACACGUGGGUGAUCUGCCCUGCACUUCGGGAUAAGCCUGGGAAACUGGGUCUAAUACCGGAUAGGGGCCAUUUUUAGGGUGUUGGUUGGAAAGUUUUUUCGGUGUAGGAUGAGCUCGCGGCCUGUCAGCUUGUUGGUGGGGUAAUGGCCUACCAAGGCGGCGACGGGUAGCCCGCCUGAGAGGGUGGACGGGCACAUUGGGACUGAGAUACGGCCCAGAAUCCGACGGGAGGCAGCAGGGGGGAAUAUUGCACAAUGGGAGCAAGCCUGAUGCAGCGAGGCCGCGUGGGGGAUGACGGCCUUCGGGUUGUAAACUCCUUUCGCUAGGGACGAAGCUUUUUGUGACGGUACCUAGAUAAGAAGCACCGGCUAACUACGUG